AUUGAACGCUGGCGGCAGGCCUAACACAUGCAAGUCGAGCGGAUGAAGGGAGCUUGCUCCUGGAUUCAGCGGCGGACGGGCGAGUAAUUCCUAGGAAUCUGCCUGGUAGUGGGGGAUAACGUCCGGUAACGGGCGCUAAUACCGCAUACGUUCUGAGGGAGAAAGUUGGGGAUCUUCUGACCUCACUCUAUCAGAUGAGCCUAGGUCGGAUUAGCUAGUUGGUGGGGUAAAGGCCUACCAAGGCGACGAUCCGUAACUGGUCUGAGAGGAUGAUCAGUAACACUGGAACUGAGAAACGGUCCAGACUCCUACGGGAGGCAGAAGUGGGGAAUAUUGGACAAUGGGCGAAGGCCUGAUCCAGCAAUGCCGCGUGUGUGAAGAAGGUCUUCGGAUUGUAAAGCACUUUAAGUUGGGAGGACGGGCAGUAAGUUAAUACCUUGCUGUUUUGACGUUACCAACAGAAUAAGCACCGGCUAACUUCGUG
rnacentral:rRNA from 1 species